GUUACUAUUUCAUCUAUCAUUAUUAUACAAACUAUAACAAAUGUAAAGAUUUUUCCACAGAUUUUACCUGUUAACAUUUUUAGCACAACAGCACCUGAUGUCAGUGAGAUUCCAAUACAGCAAAAAGAGGCGUUCUUGAAAAUCCACUUCGAUUGCUGUAUCAACAUAACAUUUACUAUAAUUGGAUCCAUGUCACUUAAGACAAUGUCUUGGAAAUUAUGUCAAUUAAUUGAUUCCGUAAAAGAAUAUCGGAGAGUAUCCAAUCUAUACACAUCAUAAAUGGUGUAAAAAUGUUUCAUAGAAAAAACAAAAUAAAAAAAGACAAAGACAAAUACCAACACCAUCACCAAGGUGAUAACAGAUGAUGCUGAUUUAAUAUCUGCAACCAAUUCUAGCCAAAUAUUUGGAAAGCUGGACUCUACAACCAAUACUAAACAACAAAUACCCGGGUAUUCUACAAACACAACCUCCAGCAAUGUAUCUAAAAAAUUUAAACUUCUACAGGCAUUUAAAGACUUUGAAUUACAAAUACAAUUACUACUUUUAAUUUUGGAUUACAAUUCGUAUCCGGAUCCAUCCAAGAAUAUCUUACUCUGGAACUUGGUGUUCUUUUCAAUUCUUUCCCAGACAAAAGCUUUGCUCAUUUUAAUCAACCACCUUUACAUGCAAAGAUCACACUACGGAUAUUUUACUGUUACAACAAUGAUCAAAGAUGCUGGGAGCACAAAAAAACAAAAGACUGUUGGAGAACUUUGGUUCACUAAUUUAAGGAAGAAAUACGCUACAAUGCCCACAGUUUAAUGGAGAGGGUGUUAUGGGCAAAUGCAAAUAUUACAAGUUUUAGAAUGAAAUGUUGUAUUUCUUAAACUGUGUACUUUGUCUUUAAGAGAUAUUGCAAACUGACAAG